rnacentral:SRP_RNA from 1 species
CCGUACUCCCCGGGGACUUAGCGGAUCUCUCGACUCGAACGCUUUUGCGAGGGGCAGAGCCUACUGUGAGGGGUAUUGGAAAUUUGCCGAUGUAUUUAUGACUGUUGAUAGUUUAGAAUAUAGUGGCGUAAGCUAUCGAACCGUGUCAGGAUGGAAACAUAGCAGCACUAAGAUAAUCCUUGCGGGUAUUGUACCUCUAAAAAGUAGGCCAUAAAUAUUGAAACAAAUUUUCACUAUUUCGAUAGGUAGUGGUACGG